AGUUGUGCCAGCAUCCUUCUCUUCUUGGUCUUGCUAAGCUAUUAUCUCCAUCAUAUCAGCGAGUAUCACAUCGUAUCAAGAGGAAGGGAUAAACCUCCUAAAGUUAAGGGAAGAUUGAGGACCCAGGAUGCCAGUCUCGACAUCCUCCUUCCAUUCACCCUAGAACAUCCAAUGAAGAAGCCACAUAUGAAGAAGUGAGCAUGAUGGGACAGCAUGAGUCACGUGAAGUAACAUAUAUGCAACCAAAAAUAUUUGCUUCAAUUGAAAAGCAGAGGACCACCAUUAAAAGAAUUCCAGAGACCUCCCUUUAUACCAAGAUAAAAAAGCCUUAACAAUGAAGCAGAGAAUGCUCACUCUCAUGGAGAGAUUGAAGAGAAAUUUUAGAAAAGCAAAAAACCCCCAAGAAUUUGGGUCAAAGAAGGAGCUGAAAGUGUCAGCCUUUGAAAUUUGAAUGGGGAGGAGCACUGGCACCUCUGAGCACUCAAAGACUUGCAGCUGCUCCUUUAUCUCCAUGGAAACAUCUGGGAUGUAGAUCCCUUUCUAGACUUUGGUCUAUAUGCAUCUACCCUAUGGCUCUCGCUGUACCACCAAUGGCUUAUAAAGAACUA